GAGCCUGAUCAGCCAUGCCGCGUGUGUGAAGAAGGCCUUUUGGUUGUAAAGCACUUUAAGCGAGGAGGAGGCUCUUAAGGUUAAUACCCUUGAUGAGUGGACGUUACUCGCAGAAUAAGCACCGGCUAACUCUGUGCCAGCAGCCGCGGUAAU
rnacentral:rRNA from 1 species